rnacentral:rRNA from 1 species
UUCCGUAGGUGGAACAUGCGGGAGG